GUGGGGGCAGAGGUGUGCGGCACAGGCCCUCCUGCGCUACCAAAGCGGAAGGAAAAUGAUUGGAAACAGCGUGCCUCGUCACACUCACACCUCUGAAGCAAGCGGGUCUGGGAGAGGAGUUCUCUGCCCAGAGCAGCCCACCCACAGCCAUGGCAGUCCAGCUGUGGCCUUGCUUGUCCCGGAGCAUAAGACAGGUUACUUCCAUCUCCUUCCUGCGCUACCAUGCCAGUCGUGAUUGGGAGCAGAAAAGCAGUGGCCUGGAACUUUGGAAUCCUAAAAUGAUGCCAAAUCAUUCCCUAUUGGGGAGGGCGACAGACAGCAGAGUCACAGAACGAUCAAAAUAGGAAGCCCAGAGCCCACAAGGGGGACUGCGGGCGGACAGGAACUCUGCCCUCCCCCUCAGUGUAUGCCUGUCCUCGCACAGCCUGCUGGGGCUCAGAGGGGCUGAUGGCAUCCCGACUCUCAGCUUCGACUGAGGCCAAGCAGACGUCCCAGUUCCAGGUUUCCGGGCCACACUCCUCCAACCACGGCCAUACCUUUCACACGAGAAACACAGAGAGGCUGGGAAUUCAGUGAACUUUGGGAUUCUGUAACCCGCACCGAUGAACUUGUGUUUAAUUUUCACCACGAGGAACCCUUGCAGGUACGGAAGGAAGGGAAUUUUUAGGGCUGUCGGGGGAGUUCUGUGCGUGUCGUGCUGUGACUGGAGCUGAGAGGUAAGGAACUAAAGUUGCCGUUGUUUUCUCUGCGCGCUCCGGGAUCACCACACCACGGUCUUCAGAGCCGUCCUUACCGCCGUGACAGUACAGCAGCCACGCCGGCUCCUCAGGGCUUCCCGCAGGUGGCCCUUCAUCCCGGUUCACUGCAGGUGACAGCCUGAUGAAGGAAGAGGUCCCCGCAGACCACGGGUGCUACGCACGCGCCCAGUUCCCAUUGGCAGGGAGCCCGAGCCCUGCCCUGGGGCCCAAGGGCGCGACCACACCCAUCCCCACAUCCCCACUUGGCGGGCCCCUCUUCUGAGACCACUCCCAGGUCCGACUCUGUAGCAGUCGGGCAGGAGAAGGAGACGAGAAAUAGACACGGUUUCUCAGCAGACGAAAUCGAAUACGAGCAUUUGGUGGCUCAGGGCCCGGAGGGCUGAAGAAACAGAUCGUAUGGCAGAAAGCUGCCGUCCCUAAGGCGAGGGGAAGCAGGGAAGAGGUCGGGCUGAGCAGACACCUAGACGCCAGGAUGAGGGGCCUGGAAGAGGCAGAGCCUGGAUCUCUGAGGAGGGGCUGCCACAAUUUCUCAGGGAAGGCGGAAGCAACCUUAUCCACCACGAGGGGAUAUGGGGCAGGAGAUGAUUUCUGAGGACCAUCUUCCAGGCCAUUGAAGACUUGGGGAGGUGGAGUAGCUUUCUAUCACAAUAACGCAAACAACGCGUAGAUAUCCACGAGCGCCGCUCUCUGAUCUCCUGAGAAAUCAAAGGCUUCCGUGGGGGAUGGCCACCUGGGCUCACCUCUCAAACCUCCAGGACAUGCUGAGUGUGCCACACGUUCCCCGGGGACCUCCAAGUGAGGGAGUGAGCCGCGCCGUAGAGCACAGCCCCACAGAAGGGGAUCUGGCUUGAGCCCGACGUCCUUGAUCCACACCCCGCCUGGGCCACUUGCCAGCUAGUGGUGCGGAAGAAGCCGUGAAUGGGGAUCACGCCGCGAACAGGCUGCUAGGGCUGCGGGAUGGGAGGAGCCGAGGCACACCGCAAGCACGCAAGGCCAUGACUGCAAAUGAUGUCCUCUGGCCUCUGAGAGUUGCACCCUGGGAAGGUCCACAGGGCCAGUCCUGUCUUCGACAGGCCUGCCGGUUCUCCACCAAGGUGGGCCGUGUCUUCAAGUCGAGGUUGCUGACACGUGUCCCGCUGGGCCUCUGGGGGUCCUGGGCCGGAAGCCUGGGGUGAGCUACCCUUCCAGGGAGGGUGGAUGUGCUCGGCCGGCCCGGAGCCCAGCAGUACCACGACGAUGCAGGGGGAGCGGUUCCUCUCUCAGCCUGCAGCUAGGGGUGGGGGGAAGGCAGCCCCUCCCUGUUCGCGGCUGCUAGGACUGGAGUCAGGGGGGCGUUCGUCCCCGCUCCCUCAGACCCACUUCUCCUGAUAGCACCAUCCUGCCUUUGCCCCGCGGGGGUCACCCUUCACCAACACGGGUUUUAGGUGGGGUCUCGGUUCUGCCCUCUGACCUUCUGAAAGCCAUUUGCUCCUGGCACCUGGGAACCCCACCCCGGGAGCUCCUCCCCACCCCGGGAGCUCCUCCCUACCCCGGGAGCUCCUCCCCACGGCCCUAGCGCAUCCCUGCUCACCCACCCCUGACUUUGCAUUUGCUCUGCGUCCUCUUCCCCGGGAUUUCUCUUGCUUACCCGCGCGCAACCUAUGCGUGUUUCUCAUUCCGUAUUCGCUGGUCUUUCUCCCAAACUGGACUGGCAUCCCUGGAGGGCAGGGGCUGUCUGUCAGAGUGGCACCGCCCCCAGCCCCCAGCCUAGGCAGCACUGCAUCAUGUGACCGGCGCCCAGGGCCACAGCCAUUGGCCCAGCGGGUCAACCUACCAGCCCGGGUCACCGAGGACUUGGCAACAGGCUCAUCAAUGCCACCCCGAGUCUCCUUACUGUCAUCACACGUGGGAGGAGGCCUUCGUGCCCACGAUACGCAACCCAGAAAUCGCCAAUUGACAGUUUAAUACCCUUGGUGGUAUAAAAGUGUGUAACUUUGGGGCGCCUGGCUGGCUCAGUCUGUAGAGCAUGUGACUCCUGACCUCAGGGUUUGAAGUUGGAGCCCCAAGGGGGGUGUAGAGAUGACUUAAAAACAAAAACUUUAGGGGCGCCUGGGUGGCUCAUUCGGGUAAGCCUCCGACUUGGGUUCAGGUCAUGAUCUCACGGUUUGUGAGUUCUAGCCCCACAUGGGGCUCUGUGCUGUCAGCAUAGAGUCCGGUUUGGAUCCUCUUGACUCCCUCUCUCUGCCCCUCCCCCACUCGCGUUCUCCCUCUCUCUCAAAAAUAAACAAGCAUGGAAAAUAAUUAAAAAUUGGGGUGCCUGGGUGGCUCAGUCGGUGAAGCGUCCGACUUCGGCUCAGGUCACCAUCUCACUCACGAUUCGUGGGUUCGACCCGUGUGGGGCUCUGGGCUGACAGCUCCGAGCCUGGAGCCUGCUUCAGAUUGUGUGUCUCCCUCUCUCUCUCUCUGCCCCUCCCCUGCUUGUUCUCUGUCUCUGUCUCUCAGAAAUAAAUCGCGUUAAAAUUUUUCAAAGAAAAUAAGUAAUUAAAAAUAAAAGUAAAAUAAAAACUUAAAAAAAAAAUGUAUACCUUCUUGACUGCCCAAACCGGCAAGCCUUGUCCUUGAAGACAAAAGACAUACUGGGGGCAAAAUAUUUGCAACAUAGGUAACAAAGAACUAACAGCCCUAGUGUACCACCAGUGGGGUCUUUCUGUCGGGAAGGCCAUCUCCUAGUAUCUAUUGACAUUUCAAACGCCCAUAGGUUUUGACCUGUCAAUUUCACUUAGAGGUAAUUAUCCUAGAGGGAGGCUGACACACGUUCACAGUUGGUACUUGCGGUGCUAAUGCCAACGGCAGAGAGAAGAGGAAAGGUAAACGUACCAUCCAGUUGGGGAUUCAUGAUGUAAAUUAUAGUACCUGCAUACAGUACAUACAUACAGUACAUGCAUCAGAUACCACGCAGCCAGAAGAGAAAUGAGCUAGACAUUUGUUUAGUGACAUGGAAGGUUUUCAAAGACCUAUUGCUAAGUAAGUAAGAGAAAAUCACAAUUAAAUAUAUAGGAUGUAUGCUUUUUAUUUUUAUUCAUUUUUGUUUUUCCCUGCCCGCCCCCGCCCCCGCCCCCGCCCCCGCCCCAGGGUAUAUGCUUUGUAAAACUCUGUAAAUGACUAUGUUGGUGAUUGCAUUAGAAGACUAUAUGUAGAAGAGAGAGACAAAAUUGUUAACAAUCUUGCUUAAUAUAAUGUUGCUUUGUAAAAAUG